AUGCAUUGGAUGUCCUAGUGGAAAUUGUGUGUUCCUAAAAAUCAAGGAGGAAUGGGAUUUCGUGAUAUCCACUGUUUUAACUUGGCUUUGCUCGCCAAACAGGCAUGACGUUUGUUGGAUAAUCCAGAUUCCUUGUGUGCUUCUAUCCUACGGGCUAAAUAUUACCCUGAUGGUGAUCUGUUAAAUGUGAAGUUAAAGAAAGGCUCUUCCUUUACAUGGCAAAGUAUUAUGGCAGGCACAAAUACACUGAAACAUGGCUAUAUUUGGAGAGUGGGAAAUAGAUACAAUAUCAAUAUUUGGGAAGAUGCCUGGAUUCCAAGCUAUGCAACUAGAAAAAUUGUAAUGCCUAAGAGCAACUCUAGCAGACCCCGAAAAGGCCCCGAUCCGCAAAACAACCGCCAAAAUGCGGGUCGGCACGGAAAAUCCCGCUCGAACAAACCCCGCAAAUGCGGCCGGCGACAAAUUAUUUUGAGAGGCGCAGCAAAAACUCGGCCCCAACCCGCGUAUCGCGGGUUUCUGCCUCGCCCCUACGGUGCCCCGUAUCAUAGUGAAGCAGUUGGCGGGAGGGACAUUACAUCCCGCGCCCCUUUCCCCACCUCCUUCCGCCGCUGCCCGCCACAGGUUCCGCCCGUCUGCCGCCGCCGAUUCCAGCCAAAUCUACGGGCGAAAUCGCGCCACCGGGGCAUCGUUCACCCUUCACCACCGCUAGGCUGGACCGCCCCCGCGGAUCCGGCGAGAAGAACCACCCCUUGUCGUUGUUGCCGCCGGGGGCCGACCACCCUCGAGACGCCCCUCAUCGUCGCCGAUUAG
rnacentral:rRNA from 1 species